GGGUGCUAUAAUGCACUCGAGCGGACAGAUGGGAGCUUGCUCCCUGAUGUUAGCGCGGACGGGUGAGUAUACGUGGGUAGCCUGCCUGUAAGACUGGGAUAACUCCGGGAAACCGGGGCUAAUACCGGAUGGUUGUUUGAACCGCAUGGUUCAAACAUAAAAGGUGGCUUCGGCUACCACUUACAGAUGGACCCGCGGCGCACCAGCUAGUUGGUGAGGUAACGGCUCACCAUGGCAACGAUGCGUAGCCGACCUGAGAGGGUGAUCGGCCACCCUGGGACUGAUACACGGGCCAGACUCCUACGGGAGGCAGCACUAGGGAAUCUUCCGCAAUGGACUAUUGUCAGACGGAGCAACGCCGCGUGAGUGA
rnacentral:rRNA from 1 species